UGGUCUUAUAAGAUGUAGAGGCGUACAUCCAAAGCCUACAAUUGAAGCAGAGUUGAGGAAGCAUUCCAACAGAGAGCUGGAUCAAAUUAGGGAUUUUCUCACACAUUUAAAACCCUAAUCAGCAUAUCAUGCUAAUGGAAAUAGUACACCCAACUCACGAUACCUGCCUUCAUUGAUCUUCAAUUACCUCUGUCUAUUUCUGAAGCGUUUAGGAAACAUCGAACAGCCCUCGCGUUCUUCAAUUCACGGUACCUGUUUACAUCGAACAAUCACCGUCGGCGGCUUCGUCAUCGGAAGCGUUUAGAAUCCAAUGAAACUUAUAUUCAGGACAUGGAUUCAGGUUUAUCAUCUUAUUUUUGAGACAAGUCAUCCGAUUUAAUGCAGAUAGCGUCUUCUUCUUGAAGUGCAUUUCGUCGAACAACUUCAGAUAUGGAAUCUGAGGUCUCAAGUGAAGUUUACCAUUCUCUGCACUUGCGUAAGAGCUCUAAGCCACCUAUUAGUUGAAAAGGCAAAUUUGUUGUUGUAGAUCUUGCAGGCUCUGAGCGUGCUCACAAGUCAGGAAGUGAGGGACUCACAUUAGAGGAAGCUAAAUCUUGAAAAAAUCUUCCAUUAAGUGCAGAAAUGCUCUUGGAAGUAAUAGUCCUCAUGUACCAUAGAUGAUAGUCUUUCAGCAAGAAACUUGGAGAUAAAUGUAGUUAUUUGACGACUUGCUUCUACAACACAGGAGUUGGCUCAUUUCCACUCCGGGAAUGAAGAUGACAUGUAUUUGGCUUACUCUUGACUUUCGUCCAUAUUAGCUUGCUGACUCGUCAUGUAUGAAAGAGUUAAAUCUUGACAAUGGGAGUAAAUCUCGAAGCGUUUUGUCAAUGGAUGGCUUAGCUUGUACAUAAGUGGCGACUAACCAAACCUGUUUGAUUUGUUUUGUACAUGCUUCAGUCCUAGAUCUUGGCCGAAACUCAAAGAUUUUGUUGGAGAUAGUUGGUUUGUUUGGGGAUUCUCGAUGUUCUUGCUUAGAUUAUUCCUAUGAGUAUUGAUUCAUGUUUCAUAAAUACUUGCUCGUGUAUAUAAUACGCACCAAAAUGUUGUAUAUCUUUCCGGUCGUCAUGUUAAGGAAUCAUGGUUAAGUCUAUUGAUAUUGAAGCUGCUUAUCUCCCAUCAAUGCGCUUAUAUUCUUGGUUAAAGGUGAAGUGACUUAAGUGCUUCCUUAAAAAGUUGAUGACUGUUUCGUUUGUCAAAAGCAUACAUCUCUGUUUCUGUAAAUAGCAACUAGAAGGUAGGGGUUUCACUUCUACAGCAAUAAAUGCUUUUGUUAGAGGAAUUGAGAUUACCAGAAGUGAUGGUAGUAUGAUACGUUUGGAGCGCCUUGAAUAUCAUGUACGAGAAGAACUUAAUAAAACAGCUUCUUGUGCGAUGGUUGUGCUACAUCCACUAAAGUUAUUACCAAUCUUGAACCAAGUUCAAUAAUAGAUCUUGAUGCAAAGAAAUGGCCAGAUGCCCCUGUUGAUGAUGCAUCUUCAUACUACAAGGUAGACUUCUCACUCUCUCUCUCUAUGUAUUGGUAUUAUGAUGGUGUAUUGCAAAAAUGGGCAGGUUGGGUAACAGGUCAGGUACGUUGGGGCCGUACUAAAUGGCACCAACGGGUCAGCUUCAUAAAACGGGUCAAGCAGGUAAGCUUUUUUAGAUAGGUAGAACAGUCAUUUUCUUUUUAACGGGUCGAAUGAGUUCAUUUUACCAAAGGGUGAAACAAGAUAGAUUUCUUACUUAGGUAACACGGUUAAAAUGAGUGACUGGAUCGGCGUUGCUUGGCUCCCCCCCCCAACCCCCUGCCGCACGCCGGGCUUCAUAGCCACGCCAGCAGGCAACACCGCAACCCACGCUGACCCGAUGUGGCUGAACCGGCGUUGCUUGGCUUUCCCGCCCUAACCCACGCCCCACGGUCUAAGUAGUGGUCAUUUAGUUUUUUGUUAGUUUUUGGCAAAAGUCAGUUUUAGUUCUAUCCGCCGACAUUUUAAGGCUAAUGGUGAAUAUUAUAUUCUAUUUUGUUUAUUCAACUAUAAAGUGGCUGUCUGAAUGAAUAUAACAAAACCGUCUACACACUUGUGACGUUCGUUUUCCUUUUAUAAAAAGAAUGGUGUUUUUCUUUGUCCUGUUGUAUAAUUUUGUCUACACUUAAUAUAGGUUAGCUUUUUUAUGUCACAUUACUUCAUAUAAUUGUGUAAUCUGACUCUGUUUUAUAUCUUUAUAUUCAUUC
rnacentral:lncRNA from 1 species